GCCUUAGGUAUGGUAGGCAUGUCCCAGAAAUUGAGAGCCAUGGUGAUGAAGGAGCCAGUGUAUGCUGCACUGGCUGUUGCACUUGGAGCAACUUGUAGCAUUGCAAUACCCAUGCGCUACUAUCAGGGAUACAAACGACAAAAGUAUGCAUGGGAAUUUGUGUAUCACUACCCCUAUCCAAUGAGAACCGAAGACUACGAAAUUAUGAAGACUAGAAAAGAUUUGUUCCCUAGUUUCCAGUUCGGAAACUUCAGAUUUCUGAGCACGAAACCAUCGCCAGAAAAGUGUAUCUCAAAUUACCACGAGGGUGUCAGGGCUAAAAUUCAAUAUUAGUGGAUAUUUCAGAACUGUGACUGACUGUGAUAGCGUAACUUGAGCGGAAAACUGUUAACACUUUUUGAACAUUGUAGAUUAUAAAUUUAAUAGAUCUAUUUGAAAAUUG